AAGCAGUACACCUUAAAGAAAUCAGCAGUGGCACCCCAGCAAAACACAACAUCAAAACAGCUAAGGGUAUGAUGAUAUGAUCAGAUCUUUACCUGUUGGAUGUCUGGGGCCAGAGAGUCCUUCAAAAAGAGGAAUGGUAAUCUGAGCAUCCUUAAAAAGUCGACCAUUCUCUGAACAAUAAAGGAAAACACUCUGGAGGAGGAGAGUUUGGGCAGGGAAGAGGUCUGUCUAGACCUCCAAACAAUUUCCCUUUCCUGACCAAGGCAGAUCAUAUUUCCUUCCUAAGGAACAUGGCUGUGAAGUCACCGUUUUGUUUUUGACCCUGGUCUUCCUGCAAAUGUUUGAGUCAAAAUCUGAUUGUAAAGAAUGAUUCAAGGGACAUAAACAUUUCAAAGGGGAGAUGAGGCUUUCACUACAAUGGAUCUAUUAAUGAAACUUAACUAGCUGCUCCAUCCCAUUUCCUACACUUGCGCCUUAAGAAAUACAGAACAUCUCACUUUAAAAUGAAUGGAGAAGACAGAGAGUGGAUAUAAUGGGAGAGUUUAACAGCACGGUCAAAAAGGUCCCCAAGAGAAACCUGGCAAGUGUCGGACCCAUUGG